AGACUUUUGCAGGGCUGUGCCUCCUUUCCUCCCCAGACAAAAUCCAUCACGUCAGCAGUCACAGGGCACCCUGGUUCCCUCUCUGAAUGAACUGUUAAAUGACUAAGCUGGCUCCCAACAGAGGCAGAGCCCAGCAAUAUGCGGCCUGUAAUCUGUCAGAUGAUACAGCAACAGGCCCAGUGAGGGGCCCGACACACCCCCCAGGAGAGUGGAGUCUCUCACUGCAUGUGACGUGGAAGACGCCGAAGAGGUGAGGGAGGCACCAUAUGCUGCGGGCCUGCCAAGGGAGAAUAAACAGCACCGGCAGCCUGGCACAGAGCUCUGGCGGGAACGUCCACCAAGAUCGGUCAGGCACUCUCAUGGCGUCCUCCUGGAUACAGGCUUUUGCUUUUGUUUUUAAUUUUGGAGCAGUGAAGCCGAAAGUGAGGAGUGAGGACAAGGAGAAGACCCAUUUGCUCCUGUUCAUUCAAACAGCAUCUCUUCAUUUUGAAAUUGGCAAGAGGCAGUUCGGGGCUGUGGCAGGUCCUGUACACCACCUGUUGCCUCCCAAGUCACUGUGCCUUUCUGGCUUUCUUUACCUAUGUCCUGUAAAACGCCAUUGGUGUAUCGGUCCUGAAGAAGAACCAAAGCUCUGAGAGAUGAGGACAUAGAAAGAUGAACUUAAAGCUGAAAAGUGAACUUAAAGCUGGAAAAAAUGAAGCAAUCUCAGCUAUGAUAGCUGUAAUAGAAAAAUGGAGUUUUCCUCAGUUUUUCUUCCUCAGAAUAAAUGGGAUGAUCCUGAUGGCUGUUUAAGUGGAGAGGAUUUGUUUGGUAUGGCUGCUGGUGCUGGCCUUGGAGGAUCUGCAUUGGCUGCGGUCUGUGGGAGAGAUAUUGACCCCUUUCUCAAUGAGCUGUUCUGGAUUAAGCAAAAGCUGUCAAUAUUGGUCCAAUUUUCAGGAGUUAAAAAUGAGUUAUUUGAUCCCAGUACAUACAGGGUUUUAUUAAAACUAAAUAACUCUGACCUAAACAUCUUCAUUCUGGGUUGUGCCAAGGAACAGAAAACGUGGACUGUAUACCGGAGCUGUGUCAGUCUGUGCCAGUCCCAGGAUGCGCUGAGACAGGCUCAGGGAAGAGCUGUCACAUCAAGGUGAUGCAGCAUUUAAUGAGAAAAGUAUGUGAAAGAGUUUGUUCAGAGGACAGCUAUCUGGCUUUUGAUGGGACUUCAAACCACAUCAGAUGUGGAGCUAAUAAAGAAAGGUAGGCUGCUUAGAUUGAAGAAGGGACUGAGCGAAUGAGAGGGAGAGAGAAACAGAAGCAAGAACUCUACAUCUUCAACAUUUUGUAGAGCAUUCCCUGCGAUGUGGAAAAUUCUGCUGGGCUAUUCCCUGAGGACACCUCUACCUUUCGUGUCCAGAAUUGGUGGGUUCUUGGUCUCACUGACUUCAAGAAUGAAGCCGCGGACCCUCGCAGUGAGUGUUACAGUUCUUAAAGGCGGUGUGUCCGGAGUUUGCUCCUUCUGAUGUUCAGAUGUGUUCGGAGUUUCUUCCUUCUGGUGGGUUCGUGGUCUCGCUGGCUCAGGAGUGAAGCUGCAGACCUUCGCAGUGAGUGUUACAGCUCUUAAGGUGGUGCGUCUGGAGUUGUUCCUUCCUCUCGGUGGGUUCGUGGUCUCGCUGGCUUCAGGAGUGAAGCUGCAGACCUUUGCGGUGAGUGUUACAGCUCAUAAAGGCAGUGUGGACCCAAAGAGUGAGCAGCAGCAAGAUUUAUUGCAAAGAGCAAAAGAACAAAGCUUCCACAGUGUGGAAGGUGACCCGAGCGGGUUGCCACUGCCGGCUUGCAGCCUGCUUUUAUUCCCUUAUCUGGCCCCACCCACAUCCUGCUGAUUGGUCCAUUUUACAGAGAGCCAAUUGGUCUGUUUUACAGAGAGCUGAUUGGUCCGUUUUGACAGAGUGCUGACUACCUCUUGAGAGUUUUCCAGGCUUCCUAAGGCUUUGGAGCUUUCCUGAGUCAGGGCCUUUGCACAUGCUAUGUCUUUUGCCAGAGAGGCUGAUUGCUCAGCAUUAUGCAUGCCUGGUUCCUUCCCAUCAUGUAGGUCUUCUGGUCAAGUACCCCCUCUUCAGAGAACGUUUCUCCCCCACCCUUCCCCUCCAGUGCGCACUGCCAAACCCUGCUCGAAACCACCCUGUUCUCUGUCCUAUGGUCACUCAGUUGACAUCACAAUCCGAAAUAUUAUUCAUUUCCCUUUCUGGGAAUAAACAUCACAGGAAUAAUCAGAGUUGUAGAAUGAGAUUUGUAUACAAGGCUGCCUAUGUCUGUGUUUUUAUAAUGGCGAAAUAUUAGAAUCAGCUUAAACAUUGACAAAUAUGUGUAAGGCUCAGUAAAUUACAGCAUAUCUUGAGGGAAGAGCAUUAGUGCAAAGACAUUAAAAUUUUGUUGUUCACGAAUGAUUGUGGGGCACAGUGGCUCAUGCCUAUAAUUAAUCCCAGUA
rnacentral:lncRNA from 1 species